UGCUAUGAGUAAGGUUAUUUCCAGAAGAGUCAAGUCUGAUAUAAUAGAGGCCUCAUAUUCUACGUUCAUAUGAUUUAAACUCUUUAAAAAUAUGUCAUUCUUAUCAAAUCCGUGCCCAAACACCAAAACUUGUUCCAAAUAUCCAAUAUCCCUUCGCAAUGAAAAGAUGGACUCUAGCAAUUUUUUAAAGUCUUCAUCAGUGGAAACAGGUUGUGCAUAUAGAGUUGACGAUGACUAAAGCGAGAUCUGACACGUUUUUCGAGACGCUCUAUCACAUCAAGUUGACAACUGAGUCCAAUGACACAAAUUGGUGCUGCCUUGGAUUGAGCCACAUCGAAGAGGUUGUAAAGUAAAGUUUGAUUGUGAUGGCUCGCAAAUAAAUCAAAUUCCUAGGGAUUAAUUCAUGGUUAUAUCUGUUAAUAAUGAGUAAAGAAAAUAGCGUGGAUAUUACUUCUAGAAGGAAAAUAAUGGGUUUGGACUUGGUUCUUCCUCCAGAUUGAAGGGAUUUGAGUAGAAAUUCAAGAUGCUCCGCGAAAGAGCCAAAUACUUUAUCCCCCACCACGUUUUCCAGCAUGAGUUGCUUUGUGAUCUCUUUAAGUGCCAUUCGAUCGUCGGUUUGAAGAAGUCCGUGAAGGAAGACUUCAAGUCCUUCGCCCAGAAUUUCUCCAUUCUCUCUGUGAAAACUUUGAAGAGCUCGAUGAGCAAGACGUGUCUUUCCCACACCACGAGGCCCAAGUAAUAAAGCGGAAUUGGAUUCUCCACGAAGAAGCGUCGUUUCCAUUAAAUCUAAGAAAUGCACAGAAAUGAAAAACAAGGGGAUAGGGGAGGAAAACCAUGUGGCUUACUUCGAAGGUCAUUGUAGAUACAAUCGUAUGGGUCCUUAUCAGUGGAAAUAGUAUCAGACUUCCUUGUCUUUUUCUUCAUUUCUAGGGAUGCACACAAUAGGAAUAUAAUAUUAUUAUAUUAUUAAAUCAUUAGGAGAAUUCGCGGGGUUUUGAACACUAAUGUCAAAUCCCAAAUCAUGACGUCACACUUCACAAAAUCUCUUGUUUCUUUCUUUCUUUUCUUUUCACACUACCUACAAAUCUGCCUCUGCCCAAUUAUGAACCUUUCCAUUGGACAACAGCUUGUACUUUUCACUAAACCUCUUCUUCACAUUCAAGUCAAAUCAAAACAAAAAUACUUGAUGAACAAAUCAUGGAUAUAAAUUCCGAUUUGGAUAUGUUCAAAUAUUGGAAAUGUAUGAUCCCAAAAAUGCAUCAAAAUUUGAAAACUAAUUAUGAACAUAAAUGGGUCAAGGUUGGUGUAUAUUCUCAGAAAAGAAGACUGUCCAGCCUUGGGUUUUUUUGCUUCGAGAGGAGUAUCCAGGGAACACAUAAAUUAAUAUGGAACGUGCUCUUUUUUGUGCUUGACGGGAGUACAAAAUAAUUGUCUCAUAUUAAUAAAAUAAAUAGCGUACAUUGAAAAAUUAAAACUUUAUUUCCUAUCCAUUAAAUAUGAUAAUUAAUUUUAUUUUAACAGAAACUGUAAGUAUUUUACAAAUUAUCAUUUCAAUAACAUGGAAAUAAUGUUAUAUAUUUUUAAUUUAACCCAAUUUUUAUAAUGAAACCCAUAGAGCACUAUUACACAGUAUGUAGUCAAACCAAUUUCCCCUAAUGAGCAAAAGAAAAUCUAUUGCCCAUCUUACUAUCAUGGUUUCAAAAAUUGUCAUACAAUAAUAACAACCACCUACUUAACAUUAUUUUUAAUCAAAUUGUAUCAAAUUCUUCAAUAUCUAAGCUAUUAAUUUCCUCAUUUUUUUUCACCAAGAGUUUGAUUGCAUUGUGAAUUAGCAACAUUUUAUUUCCAUUCUUAACUCUUAAAGUAUACUUUGUUGUGUACAAAUUGUCAUUUCUUCGUUUUAAAAUGCAUUAUUUUAAUUACAACUUUGAUUAUUGAAAUGACUAACUAUUAAUUAAUACUAUCAUUUCAUUUUGACCUAUUACAAUUACAUGGUUAUUA
rnacentral:lncRNA from 1 species